rnacentral:rRNA from 1 species
GAACGCUAGCUACAGGCUUAACACAUGCAAGUCGAGGGGAAACGAUAUUGGAAGCUUGCUUCUGAUAGGCGUCGACCGGCGCACGGGUGAGUAACGCGUAUCCAACCUGCCCAUCACUUGGGGAUAACCUUGCGAAAGUAAGACUAAUACCCAAUGAUAUCUCUAGAAGACAUCUGAAAGAGAUUAAAGAUUUAUCGGUGAUGGAUGGGGAUGCGUCUGAUUAGCUUGUUGGCGGGGUAACGGCCCACCAAGGCGACGAUCAGUAGGGGUUCUGAGAGGAAGGUCCCCCACAUUGGAACUGAGACACGGUCCAAACUCCUACGGGAGGCAGCAGUGAGGAAUAUUGGUCAAUGGACGAGAGUCUGAACCAGCCAAGUAGCGUGCAGGAUGACGGCCCUAUGGGUUGUAAACUGCUUUUAUAAGGGAAUAAAGUGAGUCUCGUGAGGCUUUUGCAUGUACCUUAUGAAUAAGGACCGGCUAAUUCCGUG